CAAAAAAAAAAAAAAAAAAAGAAUAGAAAGACAAUAACUUUCGUUAUUCAACUGUUUGGUCUUCACCAAAUGGAUUUUACAAUUUUCGAAACUUUCCUCUCCGUUGCAGAAAGAAGCAUUCUCUGUGUAAACCCCUAAAGUGAUGAUAAAAUUAUCAGAGAUGAGAAGCCAUUAACUGUUUCUCUUCUACUUUUUUGUUGGGGCUUUUUUUUUUUUUUUUU
rnacentral:misc_RNA from 1 species